CAUUUCAUCAAUGGCUGCACUCCACAGACUUUCAAGUCUCGUGUUCUUGGUGUUAUUAGGUGUGGGUAUCUGUACAGCUACUAGAGCCAUCUUGACAAUCGAUGAGAGUUAUGCUCAUGGUGGUUAUGAAGGUAGUGUAGCCGGAGGAGGUGGUGCUGCUGGACAUGAGGGUGGAUAUGGAAGUGGUAGUGGUGCCGGUGGUGGUGCAGGCAGCGGUCAUGGUGGCUAUCUCCCUUGAUCAUAAAAUCGACUCAUUAUUUAUCAAGCGUCUAAAAUGAGCAUACAAAUUACUCAUUUUUUCCCAUUAUGAAUAUUGAUAAUAAAUUUACGAACACUAUGCAUCAUAAUUUGUAUUCUUGUUGUAUAACCCAUUUAUGAAAUUAAACUUCCAUUGUGUUUGUUACUUA